GGGGGGUGCGAGCGUUGUCCGGAAUCACUGGGCGUAAAGGGCGCGUAGGUGGCGUGAUAAGGGUGUGGUGAAAGCCCGGGGCUCAACCCCGGGUCUGCCAUGCCGACUGUCAGGCUAGAGUACUGUAGGGGCAGGCGGAAUUCCGGGUGUAGCGGUGGAAUGCGUAGAGAUCCGGAGGAAGACCGGUGGCGAAGGCGGCCUGCUGGGCAGGUACUGACACUGAGGCGCGACAGCGUGGGGAGCAAACAGGAUUAGAUACCCUGGUAGUCCACGCCGUAAACGAUGGGUACUAGGUGCCUGGGGGAGCGACCCCUUGGGUGCCGGCGCUAACGCAGGAAGUACCCCGCCUGGGGAGUACGGCCGMAAGGCUG
rnacentral:rRNA from 1 species